ACCCACAAAACAAAACCCUAUGUGUAGUUACCCAAGGUUAGUUUUUUCCGGCCGCCGGCCACCGGUGGUUCUUUGUCAUUCGCAGCCGGAUCACCACCGCCACCAAAGGGCAUUAUAUUCUUGGUUUUUUGAGGUUGUGGGUGUGGUGUUGGAGCUUAGUGUAUAUAUACAUACAUAUAUACAAGAUUCUUUUUUUUUUUGUUUUGUUUUCCCACUCAUUCAAUUCUCCUUCUUUAAUAUAUAAUCUUCUUGAUCACUUUGUAUUUCUAGUUGAUUAAUUUCAUCCUCAAAGAAUAUAAUUUAGCCCACACUUGGCAAUUCUUUUAGUUUGCCCUAGCUCCAUCAUAGUCCAUCUUCCUCAAAUGGUCAUUCAUGGGAAAACCUUGAUUUUUAGGGCAAACAUUUGAAUGUUUAUACCCAAACAUGAAACAUAUAUAUACACACACACACACUUCCUUUGAUAUGAUGGGGGAGAGUGAUGCAUGAUUAAACUUGAGAUUUUUAUGUCAGUAGACUACGAGGUUUUCGGCUAGGUAUAUGUAUACAUAUGUACGCAUAUGCCUGGCUCCCUGUAUGCCAUUUGCAGGGCUCAUCGAGACGUCGGUGGCCUCGUUGAAUGGCGUAUGAGGAGCCAAGCAUAUUCCCAUCCCGUAUAUAUCUUAUGCAUAUAUUUUACCUGUGCUACUCAUCAAAGUGUAUGGCUUUACUUACAUUUUCACAUUUUGAAGCUUAUCUUUUCUAGCUAGUCACCACUGUUCAAGCUAGCAAGGUUUUGCUGUCAUGUUAUAUAUGCUUGGCUUUGGCUGCAGCAGUAAAGGAGAAGCAUAUAAUGCAACAUUUCUCUACUUCUUUCAGAUGGACUAGCUAGCCAGGGGAGAGAAAAAGGAAGCUAAGGCACUGCAAUAUACUGGCGAGGUAGAGUGUUAUUGUUGGUACCCAUAAAGAUGAAAGAAUCUCGAAACCAUACAUAUAUACAAUGACAGCCAUCAAAGUUCACAAAACCUUCCUUAUAAUCAUAUCCCUCAAUCAUUCUCAAUUUCUCAUCGAUCUUCACCAAAAUUUUAGGUCAUAUAAUUAAAUAUCCACACAUUUAGUUCCUCAAUUAUAAUAAUAAUGUAAAUUUAGUUACGUACAUUCUAAAUUUGAUUCUUAAGUUCUUAAAGAAAAAAAAAAACAGAUUUAGGUUUUGAUGUUCGAGUUUUAACGUAUCUUUCUGGGACAAAACUGCUCUUCUUUCGGACUUGUCAAGCUAAGCAUGUUACAAUAAUGGAGUUUCGAUUUCUAAAUUAUAGCAGAAUGAAAUCAAUUUUAGACUACAAACCCUAAAUUUCUGGGGAUUGAAGAUUUUGGGUGGGUGCAACAAUAAUAAUUGCAAUCAGUAGUGUUAGUAACACUGUGGUAGACUGUUAGUUUGCAAGAAGCUAGGAUCGGAUAUGAUUCUCAGCCAUGGAAUAGGUAUAGCUAGGGUUUUGACCACUUCAUCAAUUCCUAAAUUACUAAUCAAUAUAAUAUAUAUAAUCUUUUGCAUUCCUAGUUUAGCUAGUUCUAGCUUAUGACUGAGUUUCAAUGUCUCAUUGUACAAAAAAAAACACACACACACACACAAAAAUAAGUUGAAAA